UACGGAGGGAGCUAGCGUUGUUCGGAAUUACUGGGCGUAAAGCGUGCGUAGGCGGUUAUUCAAGUCAGAGGUGAAAGCCUGGAGCUCAACUCCAGAACUGCCUUUGAAACUAGAUAACUAGAAUCUUGGAGAGGUGAGUGGAAUUCCGAGUGUAGAGGUGAAAUUCGUAGAUAUUCGGAAGAACACCAGUGGCGAAGGCGACUCACUGGACAAGUAUUGACGCUGAGGUACGAAAGCUAGGGGAGCGAAUGGG
rnacentral:rRNA from 1 species